rfam:Sus scrofa chromosome 11.
CUCUAGCUAGUCUAGCAGUGAAGACUCCUGAUUUUCACCCAGGCUGCCCAGGUUCAGUUCCUGAGCAGAGA